CCUACGGGAGGCAGCAGUGGGGGAUAUUGCACAAUGGGGGAAACCCUGAUGCAGCGACGCCGCGUGUGGGAAGACGGUCCUCUGGAUUGUAAACCACUGUCCCCAGGGACGAAGAUGACGGUACCUGGGGAGGAAGCUCUGACUAACUACGUGCCAGCCGCCGCGGUAAUACGUAGGAGGCGAGCUUUGUCCGGAAUUACUGGGGGUAAAGGGAGCGUAGGCGGGGAUGCAAGUUGGGUGUCAAAACUACCGGCUCAACUGGUAGUCGCACUCAAAACUGCAGCUCUUGAGUGAAGUAGAGGCAGGCGGAAUGCGUAGUGUAGCGGUGAAAUGCGUAGAUAUUAGGAGGAACACCAGUGGCGAAGGCGGCAUGCUGGGCUUUUACUGACGCUGAGGCUCGAAAGUGUGGGGAGCAAACAGGAUUAGAUACCCUAGUAGUC
rnacentral:rRNA from 1 species